GACGAACGCUGGCGGCGUGCUUAACACAUGCAAGUCGAACGGUGAAGCGCCUUCCUUUUUGGUGGGUGUGGAUGAGUGGCGAACGGGUGAGUAACACGUGAGUAACCUGCCCCCUUCUUCUGGAUAACCGCAUGAAAGUGUGGCUAAUACGGGAUAUUCUGGGUCUGUCGCAUGAUGGGUCUGGGAAAGAUAUUGUUUCGGUGGGUGAUGGGCUCGCGGCCUAUCAGCUUGUUGGUGGGGUGAUGGCCUACCAAGGCGGUGACGGGUAGCCGGCCUGAGAGGGUGGACGGUCACACGGGGACUGAGACACGGCCAAGACUCGUACGGGAGGCAGCAGUGGGGAAUAUUGCACAAUGGGCGCAAGCCUGAUGCAGCGACGCCGCGUGAGGGAUGGAGGCCUUCGGGUUGUGAACCUCUUUCGCCAGUGAAGCAGGCCUGCCUCGUUUGUGGGUGGGUUGACGGUAGCUGGAUAAGAAGCGCCGGCUAACUACGUG
rnacentral:rRNA from 1 species